UCCUGGUGACCUGUACGGUAAAGAAUCUGCCUGCAAUGCAGGAGACCAGGGUUCGAUCCCUGGGUCAGGAA
rnacentral:tRNA from 1 species